CCAACUACGUGCCUUAUGGGGUGAACUUCGGCAGCCGCCGUAAGCCGACAGGGAGGUUCUCCGACGGCAAGAUCGUCACCGACAUCACCGGUUGUUAACUUCACACACGAGUACACAUAGACCAUAGUUACCUGCAUGCUAUUUUUGCAAAGUUGCAAUUAUAUAUUUUGGUUAAAAAAUGAUAUGAUGCAGCUGAAACGCUUGGCUUUGAGAGCUAUGCACCACCGUACCUUAGCCCGCAGGCGAAGGGGGAUAACCUUCUCCUUGGCGCCAACUUUGCCUCCGCGGCGUCCAGCUACCAUGACGACACGGCCGCCAUGUAUGUGAGUACAUAAAUAACUUGUCCCAGCAAGCUACACAUAAAUAGAUACUUUUUUUUUAGUGAAACAUAAAGCUACAUAUAUAGAUAGAGAGCUACAAGUGUUUACUUAAUUAGUUUAACUUAUUAGCUACUUCCUCCGUACUCAUAAAGCUCGUAAAGGAAGUCGUUCAGGAUAAUGUUUAAGUCAAACAUUGGGAAUAUAUAAAUUAUGAAUAACUCUCAAGUUGUUGAGUUUGAAAAUAUAAAAAUUAUAUGAAUAUAUUUGUCUUGAAAAAUACUUUCAUAAAAGUAUACAUAUAUCACUUUUUAAUAAAUAUUUUUAUAGAAACAAUAAGUCAAAGUUGUGUUUUGCAGACCGUGUCGCUCGUGUCGUUGUCCAAAACGACUUCCUUUACGAAUAUGGAGGGAGUACAAGCUAAGGUUCCUAUUUUUGGUGAGGUGACAAAUGACAAAUGGUCAAAUGCAUACCUUUCUUUGUAGGAUGCAAUUACUUUGACGCAGCAGCUCAAGUACUACAAGGAGUACCAGUCCAAGCUUGCGGCGUUGAUCGGCCAGAAGAAUGCCACCG
rnacentral:lncRNA from 1 species